UACGUAGGUGGCAAGCGUUGUUCGGAAUUACUGGGCGUAAAGGGCUCGUAGGCGGCCAACUAAGUCAGACGUGAAAUCCCUCGGCUUAACCGGGGAACUGCGUCUGAUACUGGAUGGCUUGAGUUUGGGAGAGGGAUGCGGAAUUCCAGGUGUAGCGGUGAAAUGCGUAGAUAUCUGGAGGAAAACCGGUGGCGAAGGCGGCAUCCUGGACCAACACUGACGCUGAGUGAGCGAAAGCCAGGGGAGCAAACGGG
rnacentral:rRNA from 1 species